UCUGGGAUCAUAUCCAUUAGUCUGGUCUGGGAUCAUAUCUGAAUAUCCAUUAGUCUGGUCUGGAGGUCAGCUGUCUGGGAUCAUAUCUGAAUAUCCAUGCCUUGAUGACAAUACUACCAAACACUAUGGUAGAACAUAACUCAACACUACGGUAGAACAUAACUCAACACUACGGUAGAACAUAACUCAAUACUACCAAACACUAUGGUAGAACAUAACUCACUACUACGGUAGAACAUAACUCACUACUACCAAACACUAUGGUAGAACAUAACUCAACACUACGGUAGAACAUAACUCAAUACUACCAAACACUACGGUAGAACAUAACUCACUACUACCAAACACUACGGUAGAACAUAACUCAACACUACGGUAGAACAUAACUCACUACUACCAAACACUAUGGUAGAACAUAACUCAACACUACGGUAGAACAUAACUCACUACUACCAAACACUAUGGUAGAACAUAACUCAACACUACCAAACACUAUGGUAGAACAUAACUCAACACUACGGUAGAACAUAACUCACUACUACCAAACACUACGGUAGAACAUAACUCACUACCACCAAACACUAUGGUAGAACAUAACUCAACACUACCAAACACUAUGGUAGAACAUAACUCAAUACUACCAAACACUAUGGUAGAACUCAACACUACGGUAGAACAUAACUCAACACUACCAAACACUACGGUAGAACAUAACUCAACACUACCAAACACUAUGGUAGAACAUAACUCAACACUACGGUAGAACAUAACUCGGGGACACUGAACACACACCGUAACCUGUUGGCCCCUGGGAGGAGAUGAAAUAAAA
rnacentral:lncRNA from 1 species